GCAGGAAAUCAUAUGUCGAAACACGGGACUUAUUUAAAUCGACAGUAUCAAGCAGAUACGAGCAUUACUGGAUAAAUAUUACAGUUACAGAAUCACCGAGACAUAGGGAAAUACUUCACUUAUUCACCACUAUCUCAUUCUCAAAACCUUGCAACCUUUUUCACACAAUCAAUUUUCAUUCAUAUUUCCUAAUUACACCAUAAUCUAGCAAGUACACAAGAAAGAGAAAGAAGGAAAAGAUGAGGGGAAGGAAACGUGGGCUGCAAGAGCAGCCACUACUACACCCUUUCCCCUACAACACCUACACCAUCACCCCUUUACACCCUCCUGCUGCAAAGUACAGCAGGAGUCAUUCAGUCACCUCUAUGGCUGCCCCCAUCCCAUCUAACCCUUACAUCAGCCACCCUAUCUCUGCACCUUUUAGCUAGCAUACUCAAGUGUGCAGCAACAACUCUCCCUCCACUUAGUCUCAACUCCAGCGGAGGACACCACAUUCUCUAUCACUUUUCUGUCACCAAGAGCUUUCUCCAAAGAGCAUAGAAGCCUCCACUUCGUUCAGCCAAGUUCUCAAGGUAAGCCUUGCUUUAAUGCCCCACCUUCUUCCAUUGAUCACCUGCAAUUACUGAAACAACAACACCAAUUUUCAGUUCCAGUUCAUUCGACACGCCGUAUCUAAAAAGCAAGAUAAAACAUUCAUUCAUUUCUCUGCCAAACUUUAAGGUAAGAGUAGCCUUGAUUCAUCAUCUCCUUUAAAUUGCAACUUGCAUUUAUUUAAAGGAACAAGAUCGAUCUUUUCAGUUUAAUCAUUCCAGUUCGUUAAACUCAGCAACAAAUCACCAGCUAAUCAGUUUGAACACAUUCAAGGUAUUAUACUAUCUCGAAUUUCAAUCCAAUCAAGCAUUCAUGUCAACAUGUUCAAGCCAUGGCAUUACAACUAUGUUACGAUUCAUUCAUUGUUACUUUACGCCUUAGAACGACAAACCACGAGUAUUCAGCCCUUAACAACUAGAAAUUGAAGUAGAAGAAGAAUGAGAGUAGAUAACUUAGCUUAUAGAAGAAGGGUCGACUGCCCUGUCCAAUCGAGCCCUAGGGAAUCGGUGAGGACGAACUCUUGCUGCCCGAUCCAAGCCAAAACGGCAGCAGCGGCGGCGCGGCGCAACUCGAAACCCAUCGACCCCGGAGAACAACGAAGGCGGACCUUUCCCUGGUCGCCGGAGGAACGCGAAGGAAAUGGCGGCGAUUCGUGGAGGGGAACGAAACCGUCAGUCAGUCGCCGGAUUCACAGAGCCACGACGGCCACCACCGGAUUUUAGAUAUGGGUGAAAGCAGCGGCGACACUCAUGGAGGAAGAAACUAGGGCCUCUCAAUUCGUCUUCUUCAGUGGACCAUUGAGAGGGGAGAUAAGGAAGGAGGGACGGCCUCGGAACGUAGCAACGACCGCCAGCCUUUCGCCGGGAGUUACAGCGGCGGCGACGAUUUCUAUUUCAGGGAGAAUUAGGGCUCGCCCUUUUCGCCUCGAAUGUACUAUCAGCGAGAUAGAAGAUAAGAGAGAAAGGCAGGUACGGCCACGUCGGACCUAGGCUCGGCGGCAGCCGACGCCGGUCGGAGCAGAGACGGCAACUGAAGCCUAGACUGAUGUUGAGGGAGACUCGACUGAUAUGAGAAAGAGGGAGUUCUCGACUGCUUUGAGAGAGAGGAGGCCGACUGAAAUGAAAGAUAGAGAGAGAGAUUCAAUUGGGCCGACUAAUUUUGAGAAGAUUGGGCUUUCUCCUUAUUUUCUUAUUUAAUUUGGGCUUUUCCCUUUUAAAUCAAAGUUGGGCCUUUAUUUUUAUUUCAAUUGGGCUGAAUUAUAUGAUUCACUGGGCCGAAUCUUUCACUUUGAGCCCAACAUACCUUAUUU
rnacentral:lncRNA from 1 species